AACGCACCUUGCGCUCCUUGGUAUUCCGAGGAGCAUGCCUGUUUGAGUGUCAUUAAUAUAUCAACCUCCUCAGGUUUCGACUUGUCGAGUGUUUGGAUGUGGGGGUCUUUUGCUGGUCUCUUUUGAGGUCGGCUCCCCUAAAAUGCAUUAGCGGAACAAUUUGUUGACCCGUUCAUUGGUGUGAUAACUAUCUACGCUUUUGAGGUGAAACAGGUUCAGCUUCUAACAGUCCAUUAACUUGGACAAAUCUUCAUUAAUGUGACCUCAAAUCAGGUAGGACUACCCGCUGAACUUAA
rnacentral:misc_RNA from 1 species